AGAAAUCUUGGUUGAAUUUCAACAAGUAAAUUGCAAAUUGUUUAGAUAGAUGGGCAUCUUCGGAUUCAUGUUUGGUACUCUUUGUGGAGUAUAUAUUGCACAGAAUUACACACUGCCCAAAAUUGAAGAUUGGGCUCAAUCUAAAUAUGUGAAGGCUAGGGAGCUUGAGAAGGCGUACCGUAACAAGAAUUUUGAUCCAAACGAGGCACAUAAAGAUUCCAACCCAACUAAACCAGGCCCAUGAGUGGGUAAGUGGUAGAGUAGCAUAAAUGGAGGUGGAGGUUGUUUUUUCUUUUUCUUUUUCUUUUUUUUUUUUUGUUUUUUGAGUAAAAAAUCAGUUGUUAUUGUUAUUAAACUUAUUGUCGAC
rnacentral:lncRNA from 1 species